AUGGUGCCAUGUUGUGCCUAUGGAGUAUGCGUUAGCAUCAUCAUGCACCAGCGUCCGCGCCCGAUUGUUGUCGAACGGGUGUGUGCGAGCCACUAUACGUGCGGCUUGAUUUACAUCUACACAACGAGACUGACUCGCCCGAGGAUUACCAUGCCUGCAAUUGCCUCACCCGUCCGUGCUGGCUUACAACACCGCAGCCGAUUCUCCCGCCCGCGCUGGCUGACAACGCCGUGGCCGUCUCUCGCGUCCGCACCGGCUUACAACGCCACGGGCAACUCGCCCGUCCGCCCUUGCAGCCGGUUCACGCGUUUGCGCUGGCUUACAAACAUCGCGGUCGACUCACCCGUCCGCACCGGUUUACCACGCCGCGGCCGGUUCACCCAUGAGCGACUUCAACAUCACCUAGCGAUCAUCAAUCUCAUGGCGAAUUAUUUCCGGCCUGGUACAUCAGGUGAUAUCCAUCUAAAAUAUAUUUUAUUGGUACAUAUUAUUUUUUGUCAAAGAGCAGUUUAUCUUUUUAUUGGUCUGCAAUAUUGUUGA
rnacentral:rRNA from 1 species